CCUUUGAUCAUAAGAUGCAACAUGUUCACGGGUCUAUCUGCUGAGCAGGUAUCGACAAUGAUCCUUCCGCAGGUUCACCUACGGAAACCUUGUUACAACUUCUCCUUCCUCUAAAUGAUAAGGUUCAUUGGACUUCUCACAACGUCGCCGGCGGCGAACCGCCCACGUCGCCGCGAUCCGAACACUUCACCGGACCAUUCAAUCGGUAGGAGCGACGGGCGGUGUGUACAAAGGGUAGGGACAUAGUCAACGCGAGCUGAUGACUCGCGCUUACUAGGAAUUCCUCGUUGAAGA